rnacentral:lncRNA from 1 species
GGAGAAUGACCUUUUGUUAUAGAAAGCCUAACAUUGCUGAAGGACCAUAAAGUACAUCAUGAAAUAAGAAAUUUCCCACAGAAGAUCCACCCAAUAUUCCAGAAGGGUUCCUUCAAGAAGAACUGUCUAUCGCUUUGUCUGCCUGAGUCUCAUCUUGCAUACAUCACAGAAGUCUUACUUUAAUGCCUCAUCAUGAGAUUUACAGCAUUUGCAGCUCUAGUCCUAGAGUCAUGCUCCUGUUAAGCCUGGAGUAGGUUUAUGGUGAGUAUUCCAUAAACUUCGUAAUUUUCAAUAUCAUAAGGUAGUCUAUGAACAAGGCAUAU